GAUGAACGCUGGCGGCGUGCUUAACACAUGCAAGUCGAACGGAAAGGCCCAAGCUUGCUUGGGUUCUCGAGUGGCGAACGGGUGAGUAACACGUGGGUGAUCUGCCCUGCACUUCGGGAUAAGCCUGGGAAACUGGGUCUAAUACCGGAUAGGACGAUGGUUUGGAUGCCAUUGUGGAAAGUUUUUUCGGUGUGGGAUGAGCUCGCGGCCUAUCAGCUUGUUGGUGGGGUAAUGGCCUACCAAGGCGUCGACGGGUAGCCGGCCUGAGAGGGUGUACGGCCACAUUGGGACUGAGAUACGGCCCAGACUCCUACGGGAGGCAGCAGUGGGGAAUAUUGCACAAUGGGCGCAAGCCUGAGGCAGCGACGCCGCGUGGGGGAUGACGGCCUUCGGGUUGUAAACUCCUGUCGCUAGGGACGAAGCGUUUUUGUGACGGUACCUGGAGAAGAAGCACCGGCUAACUACGUG
rnacentral:rRNA from 1 species